GCGCAGCUAGCUCAGUCGGUAGAGCGAGACUCUUAAUCUCUGGUCGUGGGUUUUCGAAACCCCACGUUGGGCG